UCUUUUUGGAUCAGAUGAGGAAUACAAACCAACUAAGACAUCCUCUGAGUCGAGUGAUGACGAGGAGAUAUUCCAUCCAAAGGUAGAAAAAUUGUUCUCUUAUGAUACAUCCAGUGAAGACUCUACAAGUCAUCAGACAUAUGAAGCAGAGGAGCACAGUCAUGUCUGCAAUUCGUAAAGAAGCCCCAAAAAGGGAAAAGCAUCUCUCCAAAAGAGGGAAGACUGAAUUGGAUGAUUCGAGUCCAGGCGGGGACCCUGGCGGUCCGAUCCUUGGCUGCAGACGCUAGCUCUUGGGACAUGGAAUGUCACCUCUCUGGCAGGGAAGGAGCCCGAGCUGGUGUGUGAGGCAGAGAAUUUCCGACUGGAUAUAGUCGGACUUGCCUCCACACACAGCCUGGGUUCUGGUACCAGUUCUCUCGAGAGGGGUUGGACUCUCUUCCACUCUGGAGUUGCUCACGGUGAGAGGCGCAGAGCAGGUGUGGGCAUACUCAUUGCCCCCCGCCUCAGUGCCUGUACAUUGGGGUUCACACCGGUAGACGAGAGGGUUGCCUCCCUCCGCCUUCGGGUGGGUGGACGGGUCCUGACUGUUGUUUGUGCAUAUGCACCAAACAGCAGCUCAGCAUACCCACCCUUUUUGGAGUCCUUGGAGGGUGUGCUGGAGAGUACUCCUGCUGGGGACUCCAUUGUUCUGCUGGGGGACUUCAAUGCUCACGUGGGCAAUGACAGUGAUACCUGGAGGGGCGUGAUUGGGAGGAACGGCCCCCCCGAUCAAAACCCGAGUGGUGUUUUGUUAUUGGACUUCUGUGCUCGUCACGGAUUGUCCAUAACGAACACCUUGUUCAAACAUAAGGGUGUCCAUAUGUGCACUUGGCACCAGGACACCCUAGGCCGCAGUUCGAUGAUCGACUUUGUAGUUGUAUCAUCGGAUUUGCGGCCGCAUGUUCUGGACACUCGGGUGAAGAGAGGGGCGGAGCUGUCAACUGAUCACCACCUGGUGGUGAGGAGGCUCCGAUGGUGGGGGAAGAUGCCGGUCCGUCCUGGCAGACCCAAACGUAUAGUGAGGGUUUGUUGGGAGCGUCUGGCGGAAUCCCCUGUCAGAAGGAGUUUCAACUCCCACCUCCGACAGAGCUUUUCCCAUGUUCCGGGGGAGACGGGGGACAUUGAGUCCGAGUGGACCAUGUUCCGUGCCUCUAUUGUUGAGGCGGCCAAUCUGAGUUGUGGCCGUAAGGUGGUUGGUGC